rnacentral:lncRNA from 1 species
UUUAUUGCUCAUGAUCAACUACAUUCAAAAGCAUGAAUCUACAUUUACAUUAAAACAAAAAAUGUGUUUAAAAAUGAAAUAAUAGGCUUUUAAGCCAAUGGUUUUCUUAUUCGUAUAUGGUAUUUUUAUCUUGAAAAGUCAAUCACGGUUCUUUUCUCCUCUCACCAUACUUCAUAUUCCUUUUGUUAGCAUCACUACUUCAUGCAAGUUUGAUAACAUCCUUUAUAACAACUCUCUGAUUUUUCCAGGU